rfam:Wenxinia marina DSM 24838 genomic scaffold scaffold_WENXMA_7, whole genome shotgun sequence.
UUUCCGUCACAACGGCUUCCUGGCGUGGCGGCGAACUUCAAUGGAGCG